GCUUUGCAGGAAGUUCAUAAUAAAAUAUACUGAUACAAAGCUCCUACAACUGGUGGAUUAUAAAAAUCGGCCCAACUCCUCGCUGUUUUACUGUUUAUGUGAGAGAACCUCACUUAAGAAUACUGGUCUGGUUUCUAAGCUCUCGAUUACCGCCUUUUGCCUACUUGGUAAUUGGAACAAUUAGUUGAGAUAUCUUUAUCAUGAUGUAAGAUUGCAAAAUCCUAAAAACAUAGGGGAAAUGAUCUCCUUGGAUGGAUU